GUGAAUUUUAUUGUGUAUAAAUUAUACAGCAAAAAAAGUGAUUUUAAAAUUUAAAAAAAUAAGGGUUUAUUCCAUGUAUAUUUGUGUGUGUGUGUGUGUGUGUGUGUGUAUGUAUGUAUACUUAAACUGAAGGAGGAGUCAAGUUGAGAUUGAUUAGGAGAAGGGUGGGGAAUGGGGAGCACAUGAGUGAGGAGAUGACGGUGGGAGGAAGUACGAUGAUGUCUGUCCCCUGGCCAUGCCUGAGGGACAGAGUUAGACAUGUGAAGGGAACUAGAAGUUAAAGGAGCAAUGAUCACAAGGAAUGCUGCUUCAGAGCCUUGGUUAAAAGGGAAAACAAAGAAUUAGAGAAAAAUAGAAAUAUACAAAAAUACAGAUUUUUCUUUCCUGAUCCUUUACCCUGUCCUCUGUCCACUGAGGCCUCCACAGCUACUAGCAGAGGACAGAGGAGAAUAGAACAAUGGUGACAAAAACAGGAAAUUAAAUCCCUCUAUACCGAGUUAGUGAGCAGCUUCUGUAUUUAUUGUUUCAGUUCAGGUGGCACAAUACAAUAACAUAAGCUGUGUAGUGACAUGGGGUCUGUGCUUUGGGAUUUCCAGGGCAGCCACAGACAUGGGGAAGGAGGCCAGUAACUGGAUUUUAGAGAGAGGUUUUGGGCUUCUGGACACCAGGGUGGAGGGAUCCUCUAGGUAAAAGCUCAAGUUUUACUGGGACCUCUCUGCCAUUCAAAGAGCUCAGAGGGAAGAGAAGGUCAGGGUCCACUUCAGCAGCAGCCUCCAGAGGACUGCCCGCUCCCCCCUCCGCAGCAGCUGGAGCCCCCUGAGGGCUGGCUGCAGCAGUCAGAGCUCUGGUGUCUGCGGCGGUGGACCGGGACUGCGGCCCUGUGGUGGCUCAGGCAGCAGCCGCCUCCCCCAGAGCUGCAGCAGCCACCACCCCCAAAGCUGCAGCAGCCCCCCGAGCUGGGGCCACAGCAGCCCCCAGAGCUGACACCACAGCAGGAAGAGACUGGAGGGCACUUUGGAGGACACUUUGGGGGGCAUUUAGGGGUGGGGCACUUGGGAGGGGGCUGGCACUGCUGCUGGCUCUGCUGGCAGGACAUCUUGGUGGGCAGGAGUUCAGGAGCUGAGGGAAAGUCAAACAGCAAGUCAGACCCAGCACACAAAGCCUACUCUUGCCCCUUCAUGCCCGCUUAGCAUCACUUAUAAUCAUAGAAACAUAAUCUCCCGUAGUUCUACUACUUUUAGUGAUCGUCCCAUACUCUUGCAUCGUCGCUUUGGAACCUCAGUACAGCCUUGCAAGUCAGACAAGAACUUUCAUCUGUUAUACAAAGUAGUAAACUGAGACUCAGCAAUAUUACAAAACAUGUCCAAGAGUCUGAAGUCUUGUAAGCAGACAUAGAAUUGAUUCUAAUCAUACCCUCCAAAUCUGAAAUUGUCCAAUUUUUAAGCCACUUAAGGGAAUAUUAUUUCUUAAGGGAAAAAUAUGGUAAUCAUUCUCUCUUGUCAUAACUUCCAAGAUGAUUUUAAUCUGGAAGGUCAGUAUUGCAAAGGAUCUUGGAGAUUAUCCACCUCAGUAAACUCACAUUAUCAAAGAAGAGACUGAUAAACCUCUCAGUUACUAUAGACCUGGGACUUGGACACUGACCUCCUUAUCUUAGUCCAGAGCUCAGUCUCCUCUCUCUACCUCCUCAAGCUGAUGGGUUGGUAUAGUGACUCUCAGACUUGCUGUGUCCUAAUCAACAUGGAAAGGUUGUAGACACAUUCCCAGACCCAUGGAUACAUGGGUUUAACAAGCCCAAAGGAGCCUAAGGUCCCUGUCCACAACGCACUUCUCCUUAGCUGACAGGGACAGGGCUAUAUUUUCAAAGGUGAACUCCCUCCUGAAAUCUGUCAGAAUGGCGCACAGUGUCUGUGCUUCAGUAUCCCCAUCCUGAGCUCAUCUCACUGCAGAUCAACUCGUUUCCUCCAGAGCCCAAAGGCACAGCCACCAACACUUCUACCUAUGUCUCCAGUUGGUACCAGAUCCCUCCCCACACCCUUCCCUCAGUUUUCCAGAACCCUUUUCCUUUGACACAGUGGCCUCCCUGUCACAAGGUAUUGCCCUGCUUGCCCUCCCACUCUGGUCUGAGCAUCCCUCUGUGGAAGGCCCUGCUCCCAUUCCCAGCAGACACUUACUGGUGCACAAGCAGUGCAGGGCUCGUCAG
ensembl:lncRNA